UUGACUUGGACAGUAAUUUUUAUGAUUUGAUCUCAAAUCAGGUAGGACUACCCGCUGAACUUAAGCAUAUCAAUAAGCGGAGGAAAAGAAACUAACAAGGAUUCCCCUAGUAACGGCGAGCGAAGCGGGAAGAGCUCAAAUUUAAAAUCUGGCAGUGUAUUCUGUCCGAGUUGUAGUCUAGAGAAGCAUCAUCCGUGCUGGACCAUGUACAAGUCUCUUGGAACAGAGCGUCAUAGAGGGUGAGAAUCCCGUCCUUGACAUGGACUCCCAGUGCUUUGUGUUGUGCUCUCAACGAGUCGAGUUGUUUGGGAAUGCAGCUCAAAAUGGGUGGUAAAUUCCAUCUAAAGCUAAAUAUUGGCGAGAGACCGAUAGCGAACAAGUACCGUGAGGGAAAGAUGAAAAGCACUUUGGAGAGAGAGUUAAACAGUACGUGAAAUUGUUGAAAUGGAAACGCUUGAAGUCAGUCGCGUUCUCUGGGAUUCAGCCUUGCUUUUGCUUGGUGCAUUUCCUAGUUUACGGGCCAGCAUGAAUUUUGACCAAUGGAAAAAGGCUUGGGGAAUGUGGCACCUUCGGGUGUGUUAUAGCCCCUUGUCACACACGUUGGUUGGGAUUGAGG
rnacentral:rRNA from 1 species